GAAGUGAUGGGGAGCACCCGCUGCAGGUGGAGCGGUUAAGGGAGGAGCAGUUCCGUCGGGACAUGACCCACUCAUCUAGGCUGGAAGGCCAGAUCAACCAGCGCAUAGCCACCCAGUCUAACCUCAUGCACCUAGGGCUGCCGUUUGACAGUGUGACCACCUACAGCCAGAGUUACACACACUGGGACAACCCCUCCACACUGAGAGGCCCGCAGCGCAUCCUGCCUGAAGCCACACUCAACUGUCUCCUCCAGCUCGUUCCACCCCAUGCCAGUUUUCUUUGCAUCUGUCUCAAGCUCCUGCAAUCUGUUCACUGCAAAAGAUAAGUGCAGACUACAACAGAGCAGAUUACAUAGUGAUUCACACAUACAGUGAUUCAUAGCAAUCCCCUUCACCCAGCAACCCAUUAACAGUCAAGUGGUGCUGCAGAGGUUAUGUCCAUCAUAUAGUCUGGCGUCUGUUAUAGCCAGAGGUAAAAGAGAUGUCACAAUAUACCCAGUUGGGGAGUUUUGUGGAAUUUUAGCAGCUCCACCGCUACUGCUUAUACCUGUCCUCCAGACCUUCAGAUCUGCAAACAUAGCUAGGUUAUCUACUCCCUAAAAAAAAUAUAAAAACAUAGCUAUGUUAUCUACCCCCUUAAAAAAAUAUAAAAAACAUAGCUAGGUUAUCUACCCCCUAAAAAAAACAAAAAAAACAUAGCUAGGUUGUCUACCCCCUAAAGAAAAUAUAAAAAACAUAGCUAAAUUAUCUACCCCCUUAAAAAAAUUCUAAAACAACAUAGCUAGGUUAGGGACAAGGGGAAGGACCGAAUUAUGACAGACUUUAAUAUGCUUCACCAUCCUAUCCUCUCCAUCCAUCCAGGAGGGCCUGGGUGUCAGAGUACCAGGGCCCUGAUCGCUAUGUCCCUGGGCAGAGGAAGCCCCCUAGUGGCCUGGAGAAGGAGCCCUGCACCGCUGAGUACCAGCCUGGUGCCCACACCGCAGACCAGACCCGAGGACAGAUCCACUCAGAGUAUCAGAGCCACUUCACCAAGAAGGUGUCCUGGAGGGCAGGCAGUGUACGCCGGUGAUGCGUUGGGCAGACCACCCCCCCUCUGGAGAGCCCUGCGGUUGUGGGCGAUGCAGUUGCUGUACCAGACGGUGAUACAGCCCAACAGGAUGCUCUCAAUUGUGCAUCUGCAAAAGUUUGUGAUGGUCUUAGGGGCCAAGCCAAAUUUCUUCAGCCUCCUGAGUUUGAAGAGGCACUGUUGCGCCUUCACCACACUGGUUGGACCAUUUCAGAUUGUCAGUGAACUUUAA
rnacentral:lncRNA from 8 species